AAGCGGAAACAUGGAGCACUCAGCGUCUUUAGCCCUCCGAAGGCAGGGGUCAGAGGUUCGAAUCCUCUCGGGUGCGCCA
rnacentral:tRNA from 1 species